GGGGGUUGUUCUUUACGGUGGUCUGUAAAACCAUUGUCGUUAUAAUGUAAAGCGGUUCGGCAGAUAGUUCGACUCUAUCAGCCCCCACCA
rnacentral:tRNA from 1 species